rnacentral:rRNA from 1 species
AUGUGGAUCCUCAAAAUCUGCCACAACACCGCUAUCUCCGGUGACCACAUUCGGGAAUUUUUCACUCUUUUGGUGCUUGUGCACAACUUCCACCUUGAUGAACAAGCGGAAGAUGAAAUUAAUUGGAAGCACGCAAAUGAUGGAAUUUACACGGCGGCCACCGCAUACAAGGCUCAAUUCCUUGGCUUGACCUUCUCUCCCAUGGACCGCAUGGUUUGGAAGGCUUGGACUCCUCCCAAGGUUAAAUUCUUGGCUUGGUUGGCAUUGCAAGAUAGGAUUUGGAUCGCCGAUCGCUUGGAGAGGCGGGGGUGGCCAAAUUGUGGCCUUUGCAAUCUUUGCAAGAGGGAGCAAGAAACAGGUGCUCACCUUUUCUUCAAGUGUCGCUACACGAUUAGGCUUUGGAGGGCCAUCAUCGAGAAGCUUGGCUUAUAUCACAUGGGUACCUCCAUGUGGCACCUCAGGAAACCGUCAACGCGUGGUGGGAGAAGAGAACCAACAAUAUAUAGCAAUCCUAAUUGA